rnacentral:misc_RNA from 1 species
UCCCCCUUACGGAGGCGGUCUCGCUAGACAUAUCCAACUAGCGAUAAGGGUUGCGCUCGUUGCGGGACUUAACCCAACAUCUCACGACACGAGCUGACGACGGCCAUGCAACACCUGUCACCGGUCCAGCCGAACUGACGCUCUUGUUUCCAAGAACUGCGACCGGGAUGUCAAGUCUGGGUAAGGUUCUUCGCGUACCUUCGAAUUAAACCACACGCUCCACCGCUUGUGCGGGUCCCCGUCAAUUCCUUUGAGUUUUAAGCUUGCGCUCGUACUCCCCAGGCGGGAUGCUUAACGCGUUAGCUUUGCUACUGAAGGGGUCGAUACCUCCAACAGCUAGCAUCCAUCGUUUACGGCGUGGACUAC